AACAUGGUUGGAGGCUCUGACUGUCAAAAGGAGGGUAUCUGGCUCUGGAGUGACGGCAGCAGUUUUGAAUUCAACUCCUGGUGUGAAGGAGAACCAGACAAUUUUGCUGGUGCCGAGUCUUGUUUACAGAUUAAUGCUAACGAGAGCCAUUGCUGGAAUGACUUCCUGUGUUCAGUUGUCCUCCCAUCAGUCUGUGCCAGCGUCCCUCAAAGCUCCUGAGCCGAGUGUCAUGUACCUACCAAACACACAAACAUGGUUGGAUGAGAGAGUCUUUGUGUAAUCGGUCUCAUGUGUAAUCACAUCUUUGAUUCUCUGCUGUAACGCUACUGAAGGGACGAAGCGACAAGUGACGUGAACGGGAGCUGGAGCUCCCUCUCUGAGAAGACUGAA